rnacentral:rRNA from 1 species
GACGAACGCUGGCGGCGUGCUUAACACAUGCAAGUCGAACGGAAAGGCCCUGCUUUUGUGGGGUGCUCGAGUGGCGAACGGGUGAGUAACACGUGAGUAACCUGCCCUUGACUUUGGUAUAACUUCAGGAAACUGGGGCUAAUACCGGAUAGGAGCUCCUGCUGCAUGGUGGGGGUUGGAAAGUUUCGGCGGUUGGGGAUGGACUCGCGGCUUAUCAGCUUGUUGGUGGGGUAGUGGCUUACCAAGGCUUUGACGGGUAGCCGGCCUGAGAGGGUGACCGGCCACAUUGGGACUGAGAUACGGCCCAGACUACUACGGGAGGCAGCAGUGGGGAAUAUUGCACAAUGGGCGGAAGCCUGAUGCAGCAACGCCGCGUGCGGGAUGAAGGCCUUCGGGUUGUAAACCGCUUUCGACUGUGACGAAGCGUGAGUGACGGUAAUGGGUAAAGAAGCACCGGCUAACUACGUG